rnacentral:lncRNA from 1 species
UGGUACCUUGUCUCUUAACAUACGACCGCCUCCGCCGCUCCUCUACCCAAUGCCGCCGGUAGCGAUGCUCCGAUGACCCCCAAAAUUACACCACCCCACCUCCUCGACUUCCUCUUUCCAUUUUUCCAUUGACAUCCUUCGAAUAGCAGUCAAACGCGUUGAAUAUUUGUUUGAAGCAGAAGCUACUCCGCCGUGUGCGGCGGCGCCGAUGACAAUCGACCCCAAAAGAACGCCAAACACUCCCCUCACCUUCCUCACCCAAAAUCUGUAAGUCUCGUCCCUCUAAUGACGAUCAAGGUUCUCGAAUCUUAGAUUGAGUGAACCCCAGAAUCCAAAAUUAUCCCAAAUUGGGUUCUGUGGAAUAUUUAGGUCCAAAAUGACUUUAUUUAUGUGUUCUUAUAAGAACACACGGUUAAUAUCAUAUUUGGGCAAAAAUUUGAAGAGUUGAAGAUCCAGGCUUCCUUUUCCAUCCCUC